CCCCUCUCUUUCUCUCUCUCUCUCACCCCUUGACUUUCAUAUUCACCCACUGCUGCAGCCUGAUACCAGCUGUUUGCAUGGACUGAAUAUACAGGGAUUGGUCCUUCUUCCCUUUCAAACUCAAACAUCUGUACGACAAAACACUCCCCACCGAGGAGUCAUUUAAAAACACAGCAAUAUACUUGGAAGUUCAGCCAAUGAAGAGAUCUGAAAGAGGAAAGAAGUGGGAAGGGCUGAACGGAGGACAACCAGGCCAUAGCAACAGCUGGGAGAUUUACACCAAGGUCAAUGGCAUAAACUAUGAGUGGAGAGCAACUAAGGUGGAAUCCGUGCUAUGGGGACCCUGGAAUCUCUUCACUGCUUCCUAAGCCCACCAGCUUACAUGGAUUCUUUGGUCUCUGCCUCCCAUCUCCAGGUAGCAGGAAAACAAGGGAGCUGUUGAAUGCCCAGAAACCAAGCCGAGAAGGAACUGGCAUGGCAUUGGAACCUGCCACGGACAUACAUCUUCCUGUGUUGUUCCCCCAGCAGCAUUCAGCACUUUUUUCUCUGCAGAUGACUAGGCGGUAAGAGCUUGCUGCUUUGCAGUCUACACAGUAUCUGCUAGAGCCACACACCCUUGCCCUUGAGGCACAAACAUGUGGACACUGGAAAAACAGAACAGUGAGAAUAGCCGUUGUGGUGACCAGUCUUGGUUGUCAACUUGACUUCAUCUGGAAUCAACUAAAACCCAAGCUGCCAGGUGCUCCUGGGAGGGACUUUCCUGAUCAAAUCAUGUGAGGCAGUGAAGUCCCCCUUAACUGGGCAGCACCUUCUGGCGGCAGCCCAGAUAGAAGGAUGUGGAAGAAGGAAGCUGCUUUUUGCUUGCUGGCCCUCACUCUCAUUGGCAAGUCCAUCCAUCCUGCUGCUGCAGCAUUCCUUCACUGAUAUUUCAUAGAAGCAUCUCACCCAGAAUUGCAGCAUAGACUGAAGAUCAGGAGAAUCCUCAAGGCCUCCAACAC